rnacentral:tRNA from 1 species
GGGAUUGUGGCUUAGCUGGUAGAGCACUCACCUAGCACGUGUGAGGCCCUAGGUUCGAUUCUCAGCACCA